GCAGCGAUAGCUUAGCUGAUAGAGCAUCUGCACAGUAUGCAGGGGGCCACCGGUUCGACUCCGGCUCGCGGCG
rnacentral:tRNA from 1 species